CAAUUGCUAACACUCACACGAUACUUAAUGGUUCAAAGUUUCAACCAGACAUAGAGAAAGAUAGGGGCUUAUAGUUUCGCCUCCCAACUUUUUUUCUUAAGGGUAAUGUCAACAAUAAUAAUUUAUGACAUUCGAGUGGAUAUAUAUAUAUAUAUAUAUAGGGUAAGUAUAUUCUAACAACACCUCUUAAGACCUUAUUCUAACAACCUAGUCUUAUUCUGCUAACACCCCACCCCACCUCCCGAUUGGACGCAACCACCGCCCAGCUCCCACAUGAACCCAAUCUACCUCCACCUUCUUCCACCUCCUACCCCACCCCACCCAAAUGCGGCGCCCUCCCACCCAACCUCCACCUUCUUCCACCCACGACCGACCCCCCUCUCCCCCACCAUCUUCCACACAUGGCACCACGACCCAACCCCCCGUCCACCUUCCUUUUGCCAGGAUCCACUACCCACAAGGUCGGGAUCCCCUCCCCCUCCGUAUCCUCCUUUUACCUCCGGCGACGACCUCCCUCCGCCGCCCACUGGUGCGGCCUCGGCUCCCAGCGCCACCAGCCCAAUCCCCGCGCUGCCUCCUCUCCAUGCACCUUCCCAGCUCCCUGCGCUUCACACAGACGCGCCUCACCUGCCUUCCCGCAGCUCCCCGGCCACAAAAUCGACCGGUGACGACCAGGCACGCCCCGGUAGCCAGAUCUAGCUCCACCUUCUCCCAUCCUCUUUUGCAGGCCUCCUCUCCUGUUGAGAUUGGUACACACCGAUUCGUCUCGCUAGUGCAUGCUACCGGCGGCGGAUCAGGACCCGCAAUCAUCCCUAGCGCACGUCCCGUGUGCCUCCCGCGACGGAUCCGGGCCGGCAACUGCCGCCCUAGUGCAGCUCGGUUGCGCCCCCAUAUGCAGCUCGGUUUUGUCCUUGUGGACACUAGCCACCGCGGCAUCGGGGCGGAAUCCGGUGAGAGGCCGCCGAGAAGAACCUUUGGUCGCCCCCACCGGUCGUGGCCGAAGCAUACAUGGACUGCUGACAGAAACUACAUGGAGGGAGGCUCGUGGAUCGUUGGUGCAAGGCUCUCCGAUCCUAUUGCAGAUCGUUGUUUUGGUGUUUUUCUUAUAAAGUGUAAAAUGUAGUCUACUGUUGUUUGCUCUUGAGGUUCAAUUUACUUGUUCUUGCAGGAAGAAAGGUGGUGUUGUGCGGUUUGAUGCAGCGUUGCAUUUUUUCUAUUUAUCGUGCAGUUUGGAUAGCGAGCCUCCCUCCGUGCAGUCUGCUGGCACGUCCAUGCAGAACAGCGUGUGUGUGUGUGUGCAACACAGGACGCAUGGGUUGCCGAUGGCUGUUGUGCAGUUGAUUGUUUUUCCAUUUUCAGAAAAAUUGCAUGACGCUAUCCGGUCGUUAGUUUUUA